AUUGAACGCUGGCGGCAUGCUUUACACAUGCAAGUCGGACGGCAGCGGGGGUGCUUGCACCUGCCGGCGAGUGGCGAACGGGUGAGUAACAUAUUGGAAUGUACCGAGUAGUGGGGGAUAACCAAUCGAAAGAUUGGCUAAUACCGCAUACGUCCUGAGGGGGAAAGCAGGGGAUCUUCGGACCUUGCGCUAUUUGAGCAGCCAAUAUCUGAUUAGCUAGUUGGUGGGGUAAAGGCCCACCAAGGCGACGAUCAGUAGCGGGUCUGAGAGGAUGAUCCGCCACACUGGGACUGAGACACGGCCCAGACUCCUACGGGAGGCAGCAGUGGGGAAUUUUGGACAAUGGGGGCAACCCUGAUCCAGCCAUGCCGCGUGUCUGAAGAAGGCCUUCGGGUUGUAAAGGACUUUUGUUAGGGAAGAAAAGGGAAGUGCUAAUACCACUUUUUGCUGACGGUACCUAAAGAAUAAGCACCGGCUAACUACGUGCCAGCAGCCGCGGUAAUACGUAGGGUGCGAGCGUUAAUCGGAAUUACUGGGCGUAAAGCGAGCGCAGACGGUUACUUAAGCAGGAUGUGAAAUCCCCGGGCUCAACCUGGGAACUGCGUUCUGAACUGGGUAGCUAGAGUAUGUCAGAGGGGGGUAGAAUUCCACGUGUAGCAGUGAAAUGCGUAGAGAUGUGGAGGAAUACCGAUGGCGAAGGCAGCCCCCUGGGAUAAUACUGACGUUCAUGCUCGAAAGCGUGGGGUAGCAACAGG
rnacentral:rRNA from 1 species